CAGCAAUCUAUAGCCCAGUGGAUACAACGUCUGUUUUAACUGCUGGGUAAUAGAGCUACAUAACUGCUGUAUUUGUUGGCACAUGGGAUACUGCAUUAAAAUUGUCAGAAUUAUUAUUUUAAUAUUUCUAUUUUACUUUAUACAGCUGGUUUUAUUAAUUUUGGCUCCAAAACUGGCGCCCAAAUUGAUAUUUGAAAUUUAAAAACAGUCAAUUUAGAGCCAAUUUGUUGAACACUUGAGCCUAUAAAUAUCAGAUCAUUUCAGAAAAUUUUUAACAAUGCAAAUUCUUUCUCUCUAUUUUUGGUUCUUCUAUUUCUUUUUCAUGUUUUUUGGUUUUUAUGUUUACUUUUAUUUUGUUUAGUUUUUGGCUAAUUACUAUUAGUCACAAUUACAAUAGAAAUACUAUGUGAUAUUACAACAAUUAUUUCUAGUUUAUACAUGAAGAGGCUAAUAUUUUUGAUAGUCAUCUCUUCGAUAUGCAAAAACAAGAAAAAAAAAAAUGAUUGUAAAGAUGAAGUCGUCGCUUGGAUCUGCAAAAGCAAGAAAUAAAAUGAUUGUAGUAGCAUAUAUUAAUGAUUUACAGGAACAGAUUGUAUAUGUACACUAUUGCUCCAUACCCACAAAUGAAUAGUGUUUUUUAUGUUCUUUUUCUGCUAAAACAUUUUUUUCCCAAUUUUCAAGCAUCAUUAAUAAACUAAAAACUGAGAAUCAGUUGGAAUUCUUUUAAUCAAACAUGUAAAUAAAGAAAAAAAAGUACAAAUGUUCGUAGAAAUGUUCACACGAAAAAAAUAAAGAUGUUCACAGAUCUGCAAAAUUAAUAUGCGAAGGUAAACAAAUUCGCGAAUGCAGUGAUUAGAGAAGGAAGAAUUAGAUGAGGAACAUAGCUUCAACAACAGAGCCCCAGAAACAGCAGCCAAAUCAAAACUUGCCUACACAAAUCGCCUGCUGUAGACCUUAGCGAUAAGGUCUCUCUUCUUCUUCCCAAAAAAGAAGACCCAAAAAUCAGAUCAGAUGCGCCUACAUAUAGAGAGAAAAAGGGAUAAAUUGUUCGUUUAAGAAUAAAUUUAUGUAUAUAUUCAUAGAUCUACAAAAAUGAUACCAUAAACCCCCAAAAAAAUGAAAAACUAAAAAAUGAAAAUCUAAAAAACGAAACUAAAGAACAUAAAGAUCUUCAUUUUUAUGCUAACACUUUGUGUAGAUUGUUAUAGAUCUACCAAAGGCAAACGGGUGGUUGUGGUUCUGAUAAGAGAGCAAGGAGAUGGAUGGAAGGCGGCGCCGGAUCUAGAGAACAAAGGCAGACGGCGAUGAAGGGUGGAUUCCGACAAGGUGACGAGAGAAAUGGUCAGAGAGGGAGAGAUGUCGAGGGCAGAGAGAGAGAGCGCCGACUCCGGCAACGGCGCAGGCGCGAUGCGGCGCAAGAGGAACCGAGAGGGUGAGAGUAGAGAGAAGAAGAAGCGGUGCUGCUUUAGAAGAGAGAUAAUGAAGAAAUUGAAAA